CUUAUUUAUGUAAAAGUUUCAUGGAUGAAAAACCUUUCAACUAUUGACCUGCAAGCCACACUCACAACUCACGAAUGUCUGGACUGGAUCCACAGAACUACCUUCUAAUGAAGCAACAAUGCGUAUACUUUGAAGAUCACUCACUGGAGUCCGGUCUUUUUCUUUUCCAGAAGUCCAGAUGGAAAGAACAGUCAACAACACUCAAUUAAAGUAGAUUUAUGUUUCAGACAUCCUGGGAUAUUGCCCGAAGCUGCAGGUUUUUCGGGAACUCCAUGCUAAAUCUUCCACUGCGGUCCUUUACAAAAUUCCUACAUCACCAAGACAGGCAACGUCGCCUUGAUGCGGGGACCUGUUGUGGGACUUCGCACAACAAUCUCAUUAUCCUGUGGGCCUACAGCCAUUAUUAGUGGUAACAGAGCC
ensembl:lncRNA